UAUACACUAACUCAUUAAAAAAAAAGUGCCAUUUGAUUAUCUUAUCAUAAAAAGCCGCAAAGCGGCAGGGAUUCAAAGCCACACGCGGCCAGUCCCGAAACACAAAAUAUGGCCAUUUAAGGCCGAAACAUAAAAACAAAUCUCUCGCAAGAGAUCUAACCCAAGUCAUCUUCAGAAUUCACGCUCCCUCUUCACCCGUCGCCUCGUCCGAGCCUGGAGCCG
rnacentral:lncRNA from 1 species